rnacentral:rRNA from 1 species
GAUUAACGCUAGCGGCAGGCCUAAUACAUGCAAGUCGAACGGCAGCACGGAUAGCAAUAUCUGGUGACGAGUGGCGCACGGGUGCGUAACACGUAUGCAAUCUACCCUUAACUGGGGGCUAGCCCCGAGAAAUCGGGAUUAAUACCCCAUAAUAUUACGAAGUGGCAUCAUUUUGUAAUUAAAGCUCCGUCGGUUUUGGAUGAGCAUGCGCGACAUUAGCUAGUUGGUGAGGUAACGGCUCACCAAGGCUUCGAUGUCUAGGUGUUCUGAGAUGAUUCCCCCCCCAACUGGUACUGAGACACGGACCAGACUCCUACGGGAGGCAGCAGUAAGGAAUAUUGGUCAAUGGGCGCAAGCCUGAACCAGCCAUGCCGCGUGAAGGAAGACGGCCCUACGGGUUGUAAACUUCCUUUGUACGGGAAAAAACCUCCGGUCGUGAACCGGAGCUGAUGGUACCGUAAGAAUAAGCAUCGGCUAACUCCGUGCCAGCAGCCGCAGUAAGAC